GUACACUCUACGGGAGGCAGCAGUGGGGAAUAUUGCACAAUGGGCGCAAGCCUGAUGCAGCCAUGCCGCGUGUAUGAAGAAGGCCUUCGGGUUGUAAAGUACUUUCAGCGGGGAGGAAGGCGAUAAGGUUAAUAACCUUGUUGAUUGACGUUACCCGCAGAAGAAGCACCGGCUAACUCCGUGCCAGCAGCCGCGGUAAUACGGAGGGUGCAAGCGUUAAUCGGAAUUACUGGGCGUAAAGCGCACGCAGGCGGUCUGUCAAGUCGGAUGUGAAAUCCCCGGGCUCAACCUGGGAACUGCAUUCGAAACUGGCAGGCUAGAGUCUUGUAGAGGGGGGUAGAAUUCCAGGUGUAGCGGUGAAAUGCGUAGAGAUCUGGAGGAAUACCGGUGGCGAAGGCGGCCCCCUGGACAAAGACUGACGCUCAGGUGCGAAAGCGUGGGGAGCAAACAGGAUUAGAUACCCGGGUAGUCCCAUG
rnacentral:rRNA from 1 species